GUUGAUCGAGGGUGAUCGUGACGAUUCGCAAAAUUCAACCGACAAAUAACAUCCGGGAGAACAUAUUUUUACUUCUAUGAAAAGCCUCCAUGUAGUGGACUUCAGAAAAGUGAAAGAUGUCACCCACCUUUAGUGAGUGGCGGGUGUGAAUUUUGCGGUCGACGACAUCUUGGAUACAAG
rnacentral:other from 1 species